CUCUGCUGAUGUGGGGUCUACAUCCUGAUCUGAAUCUGGUUUUGGGACACUUUCGUCCCCUCCCCCUCCUGCCUCACUACACUGGGCUCCGCCCCCAUCACUACCUCCAUCCUGCCCCUCCCCCUCCUCUCUCUGCCUCUGGGCUCCUGCUCUCUGAUUGGCUCCAGUCUCAUCAGUAGAUUCUGCUGCUGCUGCUGCUCUUCCUGUUUCCGCUUCCUGGUCCUGACUCUGUAUUGGAGCUGGUGCUGUUUUGGGUGGAGCAGCAAAGGAGGGGUGUUUAGAGUUCCCCCCCUCAGUCUCCACUCCUUUCUCUUCAGAAUCUUCACCCUGAUUUAGUGAUUCUGU